rnacentral:rRNA from 1 species
GAUGAACGCUGGCGGCGUGCCUAAUACAUGCAAGUCGAGCGAACAGACGAGGAGCUUGCUCCUCUGACGUUAGCGGCGGACGGGUGAGUAACACGUGGAUAACCUACCUAUCAGACUGGGAUAACUUCGGGAAACCGGAGCUAAUACCGGAUAAUAUAUUGAACCGCAUGGUUCAAUAGUGAAAGACGGUUUUGCUGUCACUUAUAGAUGGAUCCCCGCCGCAUUAGCUAGUUGGUAAGGUAACGGCUUACCAAGGCAACGAUGCGUAGCCGACCUGAGAGGGUGGUCGGCCACACUGGAACUGAGACACGGUCCAGGGUCCUACGGGAGGCAGCAGUAGGGAAUCUUCCGCAAUGGGCGAAAGCCUGACGGAGCAACGCCGCGUGAGUGAUGAAGGUCUUCGGAUCGUAAAACUCUGUUAUUAGGGAAGAACAAAUGUGUAAGUAACUAUGCACGUCUUGACGGUACCUAAUCAGAAAGCCACGGCUAACUACGUG